rnacentral:rRNA from 1 species
ACUCCUACGGGAGGCAGCAGUGGGGAAUCUUGGACAAUGGGGGCAACCCUGAUCCAGCCAUGCCGCGUGAGUGAUGAAGGCCUUAGGGUCGUAAAGCUCUUUCGCCUGUGAAGAUAAUGACGGUAGCAGGUAAAGAAACCCCGGCUAACUCCGUGCCAGCAGCCGCGGUAAUACGGAGGGGUUAGCGUUGUUCGGAAUUACUGGGGCGUAAAGCGCACGUAGGCGGAUCGGAAAGUUGGGGUGAAAUCCCGGGGCUCAACCCCGGAACUGCCUCCAAAACUAUCGGUCUAGAGUUCGAGAGAGGUGAGUGGAAUUCCGAGUGUAGAGGUGAAAUUCGUAGAUAUUCGGAGGAACACCAGUGGCGAAGGCGGCUCACUGGCUCGAUACUGACGCUGAGGUGCGAAAGUGUGGGGAGCAAACAGGAUUAGAUACCCUGGUAGGACAGUG